UAGUGUCUGCGAUCUGGGAGGAAAAAGAAAAGGUGGUGGGGUGUGGGGGCAAGGAAGGGAACUGUGGAGGGUGAACUGGUUCCAAAGGACACCCUCAAGCAAAGAAUCACAUUAGGUAUAUUCAACUUUACUGUGAGAAAGAGCAAACCUUGCAUGUCAGCAGGGACUCCUAUGGUUUAAUAAAUUACUGAAGGUUAGGACGGUGAGACAUGGCCUCUCUAGAAGAGUCUCUGGAAGGUCUGAGGGGAUCCUGAGCCCAGUAAAACAUUUCUCCAUCUCAGAUGAAAAAUGUAGCAACUAGUACGACCAAGCGUUCUUGAGUGCCUGUGUGCUGGAUCCCUGCCCUUUGAGGCCACUGGAAGAACAAACAGAGCAGAAAUUGUCCAGCCAAGGAAUUAAAAUCCAAAACUAUCGUGUUCAUUUUGUCAGAAAAUUGUAAGGGCUGUUCCAGGAGCGACCAAAACUCAGUUUGCUAUGGAACCAUGUCCUGGGUCUCCCAUGCUCCUUGCAGGGACCUUCAAGAGACCCCCAGAUCCCAGGACCACUCGUGAGCAGGAGGGCAAAAAGCAGCUCCUGCUGCAUCUGCUGUGGAGCCCUGUGUGGGCUGAUUGGAAGGCUGGAAAUGAGCUGUUUGUACUGACUGGACAAAGUACCAUUGAUCCCACUCCUUCAAGGAGAUUCUCCUCAGCUGGGGGCGCUAAUUUAGGUCUCUUUCCUCUGUGCAAUGACAAGAGCUGCGGGAACAUAAUUAUCUCCAAAUCUUUUGCUUCUCCCCUGACAACUUGCAUUGAAAUGUGGCAGUGGGUUUGAAUGUUAUUAGGGGCAGACAUGAACAGACAGAAGGCAUGACUGCAUAAGCCUCAUUUCCUUAGGAAAUCAAGUGGAAAUGUUUGUAUAGUUUAUAUACAGCACAAUAUGGCUUGUGUCUGUCAUAUUACCUUGAAGGUUGUUGGUGCAAUCGUAUGUUCCGUUGUUGUGCUUCAUCUCAUUUAGAGUUUGUAAAAAUACUCCUCUGGACCUUUGUGAUUUGUUCUCCUGCAUCUCAUAGGAAGCCAGGACUGCAAGGGGCGUCCUGGGUCAGUGUGCCCAGGCUCCUGCCGAGGUAUAUGGACUGUAAAAGUUAAAAGAGAAAAAUACUCUAUAAUAAACUUCUGAUUGGUACAGUGGGAAAGUUAACGAGACACAUGAAACCUUCCGUGUGGCCUUUGCAACGCUGAAAGUCACAGCGGGGGGCAGUCCCCUUGCAAAUCUUGGGUCAUUAGCUUAUCUUCUGCAGUAACUGCCAUGGACUAGUGUCAGAGGAUGAAGGAAUUUUCCUCUUUACAGCACUGGACCAUUCACAUGUUCCUCAGAAAAUCCUGGGGAAAAGAUUGCCAGAUUUUUCUUGUGCAACUGGAGUAUUAAAAUGUUAAACAUGUUUACAUGGGAGAAGCUAUUUGAUCCGGAGAGAGGAGAGACAUCCCUUAGCUUUUAAAUGUGCUUGAGUGACAGUCAGGCAUGUCCAGCAUUCUGUAGCAUUUUCCUAAAGGGAACAGGAGCCCAGAAGGCCCUCCAUGAACUAAGACAAUAGGCAAGAAAAGGACAGCAGCUUCUUAUAUACAGGUUGCAAGGGAACCACAGUGUCAGGAGCAGUAUUAUACUGCUGUAUUCUGUAUUUCUGGAGCUGUAUUGUACUGCUCAAAAGAGAACCUGAUGAUGCAAGAGUAAAAGCCAGAAGUGCCCGUGUUUCAGAAUUUCUGGUGCUUGCCUUUAGCUGUGCACUGAUUGUCAGUAUUAAAUGUGCUUCUCUGCUAGGUAUGAGUACUUGCAGAUUGUUAAGGACACUUUUAGAGUAUUUAUAUUCCAGAAUAUCUCAGUUGUUUCAAAUCUCAGUGAUAAAAUUCCCUCUACAUAGAAUUAUAUAUGUGCAGCUGUUCAGAGAAAGAUACAGCCUGAGAAAAGGAGAAGGACAGUAGUUCAUUUGACAGUUCCCAGAAACUGAACAGAAAAUGAAACAUUCCUUAGAAAAAUCUCAGUUUUUCACUGUUUAAACUUGUUCAAAAGUAGAAAGAUAUUUUUCAAAUUGUUUCAGACCAUUUGCCAUUUUGAUAGUAGAGUCUGUAAAAAGCACUGAAAUUUUUAAUGUUUUGUAUGGAAUAUCUCUAGGAUGAGCUUGGAAGUUCACUGACUGCCUUCAGUGUUGCCUUUGGCUUAAUGCUGUGGUUUUAUGUCUUUGUCCUUACACCAGGAAACCAGGGAGUACUUCAGGCUCUUCCAUCGACACGCUUGCGGCCCACAGUCACCAUGCAGUGAGUGAUCUCAGCCCAUCCCUGCUCCUCUUGUCCAGCCAGCAGCAGCUCAAUCCCUUUCUCUGGAGCCUGUGCAGUGCCAGGGCUUGGCCAUCGUUGCUGGGCAGAUGUGAGUGACUGCCUGACCAGUGAGUUUGUCUCCCAGUCUUCAUUUGGGGACUUAUUCGGAAGAAAGUUAAUAAAAACUGCAUGGAAAAACCAGCAUCACAGUUGGUUGGGGGGUUUUUUUGGUGGGUUUUUUUUUGGGGUGUUGUUUUUUUUUUGGUUCAAAAUUCCUACAGGAAAGUUAGCCUUAUGCAGAAAGUAUCAAGAAGCAGAGAAACAUUCCACGGUCCUUAAAACCCAAAGGUAAGAUUCUCUUCCUAAAUAUACAAUUAAGCAAGGUAGCUCUGAUGAACCUUUUAAAUACCUUUUAAGGACAAAGACCUAACUGGCCCUGCUGAUGGGAAAGUCAUAAUGUGGCUUUUUUCCUGAUGGCUUUCUAUUCUUUGUGUGUGUGACAGAUGUCAAUGAAGUUGAAAAGUGUCCAUUUCCCAGCAGGAUGCUGGCUGUUCCCCAAAAUGCCUGGGCAGUUUAUAGAGGCCCUACUAUCUCCUGAUGGUGAGGGACGGAUUUGUAGGGAAAGCUUCCUGCCGGGCAGAGGCCUGCUGCCUUUGAAUAGAAGGCAGCCAGCAGCUCUACGGGCCUCAGCAAGAGAUGCCACUGCACCAUCAGUAACCUUUGAUUUAUUAUCUGAGAAAUUCACCAUCCAUCUGCAUCAAGAGGUCACAGAAGCAACUUUCCUAAUGGGAAUCUGAGACCCCCAUUAUUUCCCACUUAUUGCUACAAGCAUGAAAAAUUGCUCCAACUGAGAAAGCCAGACCUUCAGGACUUGUUGCCAUGGCUGAAUUUAUAGGAAUAUUUAGGAGCAACGCUUAGUGGGGCUUUUUUGAACCUAUAAACUCCAACAAUUUUCACAGGUUUUUGCUAAUUAAUGCCACCACUGUGGAAAUGGAAGCAGUUCUGCAAACAAGCUGCGACAAAUGGGAUUUUUCCUGCCAGUGGAAAAGCCCAGGGAAUAAUUAGCGGGUCCAUAGAGAUCUCUUGAUUACAGACAUCUGCAUUGGUAAUGUCCAGAGCAAAGAUCGCCCAGGGAAAUGUUUGGGAUUUUCACCUUAGGGCACGUUUAUGUUGUCAGCUACGCCCUUCAAAAUGCAGUUGGACAUUUGUGGGAAAAUAUUUAGUGAAAUGUUAGAGCUAGGAACCUGAUGUUGACUAAUCUGGGCUAGGGAAACUGGCUUUGCUUUCCAAAGCACUGUCCGGCCGCCAAGACUUGCAGAUGUAAUAUUUUGAUAUCUCAUUAAAGCUGAUUUCACAGAGAUAUUUCUCAGUGCUGCAUCCGAGUUGCUGUCAGUUGCCUGAGAUGCUUUUGCAGUUAUCACUGCCUUGUCGAAUAGGAUGAAGAGGAAACAACGAGACUGAUUAUUAAAAAACCACAUGACUCCUUGAAAAUGAAGCACUGAAAAAAGAACUCAUGUCAAGGGAGGAUUUAUUAGUUCAGGUUGAAGAGUAACUUGAUUUGGGAUUUUCCUCUUGUCAAGGAGAGUCACAAUAUAAAUUAUGAAUCUACUUAUAGAAGUGGUGGAGGUUUUGCCUUUUUUGAAAAGGCAUGCUUUUAACAGGCCAAUAAAAUAAUUAUUUCAGGCUUAUGAAGCAGAACUUUAGGCUAAGGGUCUUUUUAAAACUGCAAUUAUUUUUAUUCAAAUACCAUUAGAGCACAGUUACCCCAGUUCUAGACUUGUUCAUGUUGUAUUAAAUGCCAGUAAGUGCCAAACAAAAGUCAUCCCUCCCCUGAAAAAUUUAUAGCACACAGGUUUGCUUGGGUUUACCAAUUGUGCUUGGAUACAGGAUAUAGGAUAUAAAAUAAAUUAAAUUUAUAAUGCCUGUGAUUUUAAAACAUUGGUGACACAAUGUAGGUCUGUCUUGCUUAGAAUCUUUUUUUGAUGGGAUCUUCAAUCCCCCAAGCCUUGAAGCAGAAAAUGCUCUUAAAUUUGUAUUUAAACCCAUCCUUCUCCAGGAGAACCAUUAAGCAAAUGAUUCAUUUUAAGAUACAUUUCAGUCCCAGGGGCAUCAUUUAUCCUACUCACUGGUCAGGCAGUCACUUACAACGAAGUUAAGUACUGAGCAGACCUAAUUCUGAAUCCAGGCUGUCCUUCAAGAUGUCAUGAGAAGCAAGAAUAACUAAUUCUCCUGGCUUUUGAGUCACUGUGUGCACGACACAUAGCUUCACCCACUAAUGCACCAACAUAUCAGCUGUUUCCAGAGAUCUCUAUUGGCUUAGCUUUGCUGGUCUCUCUGUGCUGAGGGGCAGGGGUAGAAGGAGUGAAGGGUUAGGAAAGAAGGAGAAUUCAGAGUUGCUGAGGGUACUUUUGUUCUCAGAUAACUUGUAUGACAAGUACAUGUAUAUUCAUGGGCACUGAGUGCUAGAAUCCACGCUUCAAUCCAGUCUGACCCAGGAUAUUUACAGAGGUGUGAAGCAACUUCAGGAUGGGGUUUGUAAUAUCCUCAUUCUGGGUCCUUAUGAAGUCUUUCCAGAAGUCCCCAGAGAUGCCUGUGAUCACACGUGCCUCAUUGUCACUGCCUUGGACAGAUGGGAAAGUCCCUGGAGAGAUUGCUUCAGAGUGGUGUUUACUGAUCAGCAUGUGGGCUGCAGUGGCACUGGUUUUGGGGUGCAGGUGAAAGGACACUCUCUCUUACAGUGUCCUGCAGACAGGAUUUCCAUUCAUUCUGGGUUGUCUUUCAAAGUACAGGCUAUGUACAUGCACAGUCCAGGUGACUUUGAGCUGCAGCUUGGUACAUUUUUCAGCUGCACUGAAGGAAAUGGUUUACAGUGGCUAAAGGUACAAGUACGUGGCACUGUAUCUGCCCUUCAGAAACACGAUAUGAAUUCCUGUAAAUAAGGUAUUUAAGCAUAAAUGUGUUUGACUGUUUUCUAAUGAGCCUUGUUCACAGGCCCUGCAGGGUUAAUUAGGUUUCUAGAUCUUAUCUUUACUCUAUUACACUAAAGGCAAAAACCUCUACAGGAACUGAAUCCACUCAGAAAGAGCAAAUAAACUAGCUCUAAAUGAUCACAAACUGACCAAGCUUUUCUGCUUCAGCUCCCUGUGUGCCUUCAGGCAACCUGGAUUUAAAAGCACCGAGAUUACAGGACCAUAAAAAUACACAUUUACAUUUACGUGUGGUCACAUGCAAAAUUUAAGAUUUAGAGAAAGCCACAAAGGGAAUGUUUAACACAAGUAGCCAGGCACAAGCUGAAUUAAUGACACAGCAGCCCCAGCAGAAACACAAGAAAAACAUGUAAACCUUCAUCUAUUAUUAGUUGCUGUAGCCCACACUCCAGAGCACAAGGACGCAUGGUCAUUAGAGGCUGUUCUUUUCCACGAGGUCUUUUGGGCAAGUCCUGAAAUGUAGGGAAUUCACAUGUGAGGGUCCUCGUUUUGAAUUUUAUUUCUUUGUUGGAUGAUUAAAUCACGGCGUACAUGAACAGAGUAGCCAUGAGCACCUGCCCAGGUGGGGACACUCUGCAGGAGGACUCCCAGCCUGUUCAUGUUGGACACCCUGGGCUGGCAGAAGGCUGCAGGUGGUGCUCCCAGGAUGGGCACCAGCUCCUCCAGCACGGGAAGGGUUUGCAUUCCUGCAGCCCCUGGCAGGCAGGCUGAGCUUUUGUACCAAGUCUUGCACGUCUGCUACAGGCAAUUCAACAGCCUGUAGCAAGUGCAAGAGCGUGUGGUGACAGGACAAGGGGCAAUGGCUUCAAACUGACAGGGCAUAGGUUUGGAUUAGAUGUUAGAAAGAAAUUCUUCCCCGUGAGGGUGCUGAGGCCCUGGCACAGGUUG